rnacentral:rRNA from 1 species
CCUACGGGUGGCAGCAGUGAGGAAUAUUGGUCAAUGGACGCAAGUCUGAACCAGCCAUGCCGCGUGCAGGAAGACGGCUCUAUGAGUUGUAAACUGCUUUUGUACGAGGGUAAACUCAGAUACGCGUAUCUGUCUGAAAGUAUCGUACGAAUAAGGAUCGGCUAACUCCGUGCCAGCAGCCGCGGUAAUACGGAGGAUUCAAGCGUUAUCCGGAUUUAUUGGGUUUAAAGGGUGCGUAGGCGGUUGGAUAAGUUAGUGGUGAAAUCCCGAGGCUCAACUUCGGAAUUGCCUCUGAUACUGGUAGGCUAGAGAGUAGUAGCGGUAGGCGGAAUUUAUGGUGUAGCGGUGAAAUGCUUAGAGAUCAUGCAGAACACCGAUUGCGAAGGCAGCUUACUAAGCUACUUCUGACGUUGAGGCACGAAAGCGUGGGGAGCAAACAGGAUUAGAUACCCGUGUAGUC